GCCCGAGUGGUGGAACUGGUAGACGCACUGGAUUCAAAAUCCAGCGCCCGCAAGGGCAUGUCGGUUCGAUUCCGACCUCGGGCACCA
rnacentral:tRNA from 1 species